rnacentral:lncRNA from 1 species
CAUCAGGUACAUAAACAAUACACAGACUCCCUCUCGGAGACGGAUGGCUCAUGUUCAGUAAUUAUAACUUUGCUGGAACAUUGGAUUAUAAUCACCUUAUAAGAUCCGCUUUGGUAAAUUCCACAAGCAAAGAACUUUAAUUAGGGGGUUUUAUUAGCAAAGCUGUAUAAAAUAAAAAUGUAAUAUGUGAAAAUGAUUAUAGUAGCUACCUGAAUAAUCUCCCUUAAAUUGUAAGAUUCAUCAGUGUUCGUCUUGCAGAUCCUAAACUCUUCAUCUAAUUAGAAUAUUUUUAAGCAAACGCAUGUCUCUUAAGGGCCAAUAUCUCUAAAUGAGAACAUCAGGUGUCGUCUAACCGAGAAAGAUACCAUCAUGCAAAAAAAUACAAAUAGUAUCAGAAGAUACUAUUAACCUGCCAUUAGUAGGGCCAACAUUUUUAUUCAUUCAUUAACUCACAUAACAAUGGAGUGUAUUUAUAUGAAGGUGUAUUUAUAUGCUAGGCUCUUAGAUGAUACAAAGAUGAAAUGGGUGUGGAACUUUUCUCUCAAAGAGCCUCAGUGAGGAAACAGUGUGUUCAGCUAACCCCUCUACUUGAGAGCAGCCUAUGCUCCUCCAUUCCCUUGACCUAGUCUGGUUUUUCUUAUAACCAGCAGCCCAUAAAUACAUAUAAGACGAGGCAGCCAGGAAGAAUGAGAAUUUGCUCUAUUUAAAAAAACGACAUCACCGUUUAAGGACGUGCAGGCCUUUUUGUAAGAAGUACCCUUGCUGGAAAGUUCUGCCACCUCCAGUCUAAUUCAUACCU